rnacentral:rRNA from 1 species
UGAGGCGCGCCGAGUUUGAUCCUGGCUCAGAGCGAACGCUAGCGGCGGGCUUAACACAUGCAAGUCGAGCGCCCUGCUUGCAGGGAGCGGCGAACGGGUGAGUAACACGUGGAUUACGUGCCCUUAGGUGGGGAACAACUCAGGGAAACUUGAGCUAAUUCCGCAUAUGCCCUUCGGGGUGAAAGACUUCGGUCGCCUGAGGAUCGGUCCGCGGCCCAUUAUUUAAUCCUAGUUGGUGGGGUAAAGGCCUACCAAGGGUACGAUGGGUAGCUGGUCUGAGAGGAUGAUCAGCCACACUGGGACUGAGACACGGCCCAGACUCCUACGGGAGGCAGCAGUGGGGAAUAUUGGACAAUGGGCGAAAGCCUGAUCCAGCCACGCCGCGUGAGUGAUGAAGGCCUUCGGGUUGUAAAGCUCUGUCGGGAGGGACGAAACCUUCGGGUUGACGGUACCUCGCAAGAAAGCACCGGCUAACUCCGUGC